AGCAUAUUUGAAGAUUCCCAACAUCUUACAAGAGACAGUACAUCCUGCACAGUAAGGCCUGGACUAAUUAAUCCUCCACACCUCUAUGAGCAAGUUCCUGUUCCUAGAAUAUACCAAGGACACUGACUACCUCACUUCCCACAACUCUAGUGUAGUGUUGACCAAAUGCAGUGUUAUAUGUAAAAGAUCCUAGACAAAACAAGUAUCUUCAUCUUCAUAUGCAAACCAAGAAGGCUUAGCAGAAAGACAACCAGAAAAGUGAGAGACAGAUAUUUAUUUGCAGAAUUCAUAUAAAGGACAGAAUUUUAUAUGUAACAAAUGACGGCAUAGAAGGAAUUGCUACUACAAUUCAGAGUGAAGACAAAAAUAUUUCCACUCUUGAUAAGCAAAAGGAAAAAUUCAGCUGAUCAUAUGGAAUUUCACUCAAUCUUUUUGAAGCCAUUCAGUUUCCUGCAUGGUACACUACUUCCAAAAUCUGUAGGAAUGGGAUAUAUUUAAACUUUUAUUUUGUUUUGUUUUACCAGCAUGAAUAAUUCAGCAAACCUAUAGUCUGUACCAUAAAUGGCAUCCAUUAGAUUUUUUUCUCUUACAUUAUGACCUUUCUUUAAAAUUAAUAAAAUCAAAAUGUAUAUGUAAAUUAUAGAUUGAAUGGAUAUAACCUAAACUCUGAAGUCUUUUUGAAUGGAUGCAUGGGAGAAGAGUAUGAUUCAAAACCCUUCAAUAAUGCAGUUUAACAUUUAAACAAUUAACAACCAUCAGCAAUGAAAACUUAUUAAAACAUACCUCUAAUGAGUCUAAGCAAGUUGUAUCAUCAGAUGACCUGGAUCUAUUUUUCUGUAAACAAUUUUUCAAUACUGUAAAGUUUUUCAGUUGUAUGCAUGUAUUAUUAUACAGUAUCUAGACACCUGUAGCAGGCUCAAGGAUACAACCCUGGUGUCUGAUGCACCCUGGUGGUCAGGCUCGCCUGCUGAGCUCUCUGGCCACUAGGCCUGUGCGAAGCAGCUAG